AGAGUUUGAUCCUGGCUCAGAUUGAACGCUGGCGGCAUGCCUUACACAUGCAAGUCGAACGGUAGAGUAGCAAUACUCGAGAGUGGCGAACGGGUGAGUAAUAUAUCGGAAUGUGCCCAGUCGUGGGGGAUAACGUAGAGAAAUUUACGCUAAUACCGCAUACGAUCUACGGAUAGAAAGCGGGGGAUCGCAAGACCUCGCGCGAUUGGAGCGGCUGAUAUCAGAUUAGGUUGUUGGUGAGGUAAAAGCUCACCAAGCCGACGAUCUGUAGCUGGUUUGAGAGAACGACCAGCCACAGCUGGGACUGAGACACGGCCCAGUACUCCUACGAGGAGGCAGCAGUGGGGAAUUUUCGGACAAUGGGCGAAAAGCGCUGAUCCAGCAAUGCCGCGUGCAGGAGAGAUACGCGCUUCGGGUUGUAAACUGCUUUUGUACGGAACGAGAACUGUCUUUUGAUAAUAGGGAAGGCUAAAUGACGGUACCGUAAGAGUAAGCACCGGCUAACUACGUGCCAACAGCCGCGGUAGUACGUAUGGUGCGAGCGUAAAUCGGAAUUACUGGGCGUACAGCGUGCGCAGGCGGUGAUGCGAGACAGUCGUGAAAUUCCCGGGGCACUANCCUGGGAAUUGCAUCUUGUGACUGCCUANCUUGAGUCCCGUUGAAGGGGGAUGGUAAUCCUCGUGUANCAUCGAAAUGCCUANAUUUGCGGAUGAACACCGAUCGCUACGGCUAUCCUCUUGUACGGGUUUCUGACCCUCUUGCCNUAAUNGCGCUNGGAUCCACCCCUGAUUGGAAUANCUUUGG
rnacentral:rRNA from 1 species